rnacentral:lncRNA from 1 species
CAGACUAGGGUGUCUUUAAAAGUCCAACCUUCCUUGACUAUGACAGCCUGGAUGUCCUGCUGGGAGCAGAAAGGCUUGAGGUGCCAUAACGUUGCACUGAAGGUCAAGAAGCAAAGGCACUGUGGUAUGCUUGCGGUAGUGCUGUGUGGGAGGAGUUGGGUCUACUAAUUUAAGAGAUGCAAAUUCCAAAACAUGGUCAUGAUGUCAAUAAGGCACGUUAUAAAGUAACUCACUAGUACCAGUUUUAUGCAUUUACACACGAAAAGUAUGUGACAUUUGCCUUAGAAGUCUUUGUCCUUUCAAGGCAUAUAAACCUUGGCAUUGCUUGUGUUCUUGAACUUUACAAACACUGAUUUAUGGAAAGACAAUAACUGUCACUGGCUUUCGUUACUAUGACUACCAUAAGGCAAUAUAAAAUGUAUUAAGAUGGGUCCUUAGGAACCGGGUAGAUAGCUCAUUUGGUCCAGUGCUAGCUGUAAAAGCAUGAAGACUUGCUUGUGUUAGAGCCUCAGACCCCAGAUGAGCAACUUGCCACAUGCUGUGUGCUUGUAAUACUAGUGUUGGGCGGAUGGAGACAGACCCCAUCCCCGAGACUCACUGGAUGGUUAGCUUAUCCUAAUCUUUGAGUUCUUUUCUUUUUUUUUUCUAUUUUUCCUUCCUUCCUUUCUUCCUUCCUUCCUUCCUUCCUUCCCUCCCUUCCUUCCUUCCUUCCUUCCCUUCCCUUUCCUUCCUUCCUUCCUUCCUUCCUUCCUUCCUUCCUUCUUUCUUUCUUUCUUUCUUUCUUUCUUUCUUUCUUUCUUUCUUUCUUUCUUUCUUUCUUUCUCUUCCUUUUUUUGGUUUUUCAAGACAGGGUUUCUCUGUAUAGCCCUGGCUGUCCUGGAACUCACUCUGUAGACCAGGCUGGCCUUGAACUCAGAAAUCUGCCUGCUCUGCCUCCUGAGUGCUGGGAUUAAAGGCGUGCGCCACCAUGGCCGGCUAAUCUUUGAGUUCUAACCCCACGAGAGACCCAGUCUCACAGGGCCAGGCGUAAGUAACUGAGGAACAACAUGUGAGCUUGCCCUCUGGCAUCCACAUGCACCUGUGCAUGUGCACCUGUACACAUAGGAGCACACACUUCUACACAUACAUACACAUGUAUAUACGUGAAGAUAGGUAACGGGAAGACAUUCUCCUAGGCUGAACUGCCUCAAACUGGUAAGAUAGCUUAAAGGGAUUGAUAAAAUAACUGUCUAUUUAAUUUUUAAAAAGUCCUUAAACUUUAAGCGUUGGAGAUGAUGAGUCCUUAAAACACUGAAUUAUUCUCAGAUACAAUCUUUUAAAAACACUCAUUAUAAGUAGAAAUUUCCCAUAUGCUCAGAAUUAAGUGAUCGGAGCAGGAAGUGAACGUACCCUGGGAGAGCGCCAUCUUAGAUGACCAUUCUAGUGGCUACUGUGUUUCCGAACCACCUUACUGUAUUUGAAUAUGUUGAUAUUCAGCAGAAUUUCACAGGACUGGAAUCUGCGAUUGCUUAGCUGAAUGCUUGUCUGAGCCAGGGUCUGAGGCUGAAGCCCAGUCAGUCAGCUUGUAGCUUGUGAUUGUUUUCGGAUUAUGGUCCUUAUUUCUUUGUCAUUUGUCAUCAGGAACGGGUUUUUGCCACAAGAGGUCGUCCAUAUUCCUUUUCUGUUGUCUUCUUCCCCCGGCAAUAGUGGCUCACCCUUUAACUCCGACCUGGUGGGGAAAGUUCUCUCCUUUAGUGACUCCUGUGAUGAUAGUGGGCCUAGCUAGAUGACCCAGGCUCAUCUCAGGCAGGCCUAGCUAGAUGACCCAGGCUCAUCCUGGAACUCAGAAAUCCGCCUGCCUCUGCCUCCCAAGUGCUGGGAUUAAAGUCAUGGGCCACCACGCCCGGCUGGGAAUGAUCAUUCUUGAAGGAAACUUGUACCCAUUACAGGAAAUUCAUGCAGCUCUCAGUAACUUACACACAGUUGUCCACUUAAGUCUCUAGUUUUAUAAUUCAUAACUAUUCAAGUUUUGUAUGUAGGGUUGUGUAUGUCUUAUACAAGACAUCAGAGAGACGGACAGAGACAGAGAAUUUAUUUAUAUUUAUAUGCCAUUUUUAUAAGAUAUAUAAAGUAUUUCAUAUUGAGAUGUGUUGGCCAUGUUUAAAGUUUAAAUUCUGUCUGUGUCACACAUCCAUUUUGUGUUUGACUAUAAAAGUGGAUUUUUUUUUCCCUAUGUGACAGUCUCUUUAACUGUCCGGAGCUGGAAGUCAUCAGGGUACUCAAGUGCCAGUCUAGGAAGGGGGAGGCCAGUCCCCACCCAGAGCUUCUAGGAAAGGAAGGUCCUUUCAUCUGCGAUCUCUUCUGGUUGUCUUUGUUAUGGAUGCUUCCCAUAUGUUGCCUUCUGUCCCACGUGUUGUUCUUUUUUCUGCAAAAUCGACUUUAGUGUUGUUGACAGCAGGGCCAGCAGAGGGCGCCCGAGAGCCAAGACUAUUUGCUUAAGAUAACUUUGGUCAUAUACUUGGUUGACUGCAAACUGUACCAAGUUAGAGAUCAGAUAUAGUGUGCUCACCCACGUCUUUACCCUGCUGAUGACAGGCUCCAACGUGUCACUGUGCUCCUGGUUUAGCAAUUGUAGGAUGGCCAUUUGUAGAUGUGUAGAUUUCAUUUAUAAUAAUUCUUCAUAGGAAAAAAGAGAUAUAAGUUAAAUAAAGCCGGAAGGGAUAUUUUUGCGAGGGGAGUCACAGGAGAAGGAAAAAUUUGACAAAAAAAUUUUGAGUGUUUAAUCGUGUGCAAAUAUUCAUAGAUAGCCGUGUGCAUUAGGGACUAUGCCAGGUUCUGGGACUACAGUAGAGUCAAAGACUUGCUUACUGCUCUCGAGGAGUUUGAAGGCUAGGUGAAUAAAAUUAAAUCACUGGUUGGAAUGGAAAAUGGAAAACAGCUUGGCAAUUUUUC